rnacentral:rRNA from 1 species
GCUUGGUGCUGGGCCUGGAUCGGACUCUAGGCGAACGGGUGAGUAAUACGUGAGUAACCUGCCCUUGACUCUGGGAUAAGCCUGGGAAACUGGGUCUAAUACUGGAUACGACAUGUCACCGCAUGGUGGUGUGUGGAAAGGGUUUUACUGGUUUUGGAUGGGCUCACGGCCUAUCAGCUUGUUGGUGGGGUAAUGGCUCACCAAGGCGACGACGGGUAGCCGGCCUGAGAGGGUGACCGGCCACACUGGGACUGAGACACGGCCCAGACUCCUACGGGAGGCAGCAGUGGGGAAUAUUGCACAAUGGGCGGAAGCCUGAUGCAGCGACGCCGCGUGAGGGAUGACGGCCUUCGGGUUGUAAACCUCUUUCAGCACGGAAGAAGCGAAAGUGACGGUACGUGCAGAAGAAGCGCCGGCUAACUACGUGCCAGCAGCCGCGGUAAUACGUAGGGCGCAAGCGUUGUCCGGAAUUAUUGGGCGUAAAGAGCUCGUAGGCGGUUUGUCGCGUCUGCUGUGAAAGCCCGGGGCUUAACCCCGGGUGUGCAGUGGGUACGGGCAGACUUGAGUGCAGUAGGGGAGACUGGAAUUCCUGGUGUAGCGGUGAAAUGCGUAGA